ACCCUCCUAGUGUCGCACCUGGAGAGUUUCUAGUAUUCUAUCAGUCUCGCCUGCAGGAGGGAAAGUCAAACAGAGACAUACCCAUUCCAUUCCUAGUUUGGCCAGUGGCUAGCAAGUGGAAGGCAGUCUGCUACAAGU